rnacentral:rRNA from 1 species
GACGAACCGAGCGAACGUUGUUCGGAAUCACUGGGCUUAAAGGGCGCGUAGGCGGGUACUCAAGUCUGUGGUGAAAUCCUCCGGCUCAACCGGAGAACUGCCAUGGAUACUGGGUGCCUCGAGGGUGGUAGGGGUAUGCGGAACUAUCGGUGGAGCGGUGAAAUGCGUUGAUAUCGAUAGGAACUCCGGUGGCGAAGGCGGCAUACUGGACCACUUCUGACGCUGAGGCGCGAAAGCCAGGGGAGCAAACGGG